UACGUAGGUGACAAGCGUUGUCCGGAUUUACUGGGCGUAAAGAGCGCGCAGGCGGUCGAUCAAGUCGCGUGUGAAAGCCCCCGGCUCAACUGGGGAGGGUCACGCGAUACUGAUCGACUCGAAGGCAGGAGAGGGAAGCGGAAUUCCCGGUGUAGUGGUGAAAUGCGUAGAUAUUGGGAGGAACACCAGUGGCGAAGGCGGCUUUCUGGCCUGUUCUUGACGCUGAGGCGCGAAAGCUAGGGGAGCAAACAGG
rnacentral:rRNA from 1 species